GGCUUAGUGGGCCUGCGCACUGUUGGAACUGCCGCGAGGUAGGUAUAACGGGAGCGUCAGACCAGCGCACCUGCGCAGUAGACUUCUAGGCAGGGCCGUGCACUGGGCUGCGCUUUGCCAGCUAGAGCGGGUGCGCAGGGAUGGAGAUGCUGGCCUCUUUCACGGGUACUGUCUGAGGUUCGGCUGCUCUGCCCAACACAGGUCCAAUGGUAACCUCUUCAGUCAUACAUAAGCUUCCAUCCCAGGAAUGAUUGACAUCGCAUGUGGUCAGGAGACCACAAGCAGCAAGGAUGGUGGAGAGAAACAAUGAUACCUCAAAGGGUGUUUGCUUUUCCGUGGAGAUCGUUAAAGAAUUCAACAGACACAGAAUGGCAUCGGCCUGCUUUGCAUCCAAGAGCCAAAGAAAAGCUGCUCACAGCCCAUACCAGCUACAGGAUGAUAUGGUGCCACGGCCCAGCAGCCACAGGUCAGAAUUUCUGACACCUGAGUCACCUGCUGGGGAUUUUCAGUUUUAUUUGGUAGUGUCUGUGUGACUGGUCGUUCUUCAAUGCGAGGACAUUCCUUAGUUAGCCACAGAACUCCACGUGUGGAAGCAUCCUCCGAGGUCAUAGUACAUUUUGUCCGCAGGUGCUUCAUCAGGGCAUGCUUCCGAAUGGAGCUUGAGGGGGGGCACUUUGAACUUCUGGAGGGGAGCUGGCAAGGGAGGGCCUGUGCCUGGGGACAAAGCCCAAUUUUCUAUGGUUGGAUUAAGCCAGGAGAAGAACCUGUUUGUCUGGAAUGUGGGAUGGCCUUGAUGGGCACUGUGAGAAGUUGUUUGCCCCACUGAUUUGGGACUGUUUUUUUUUUUUAUUGUCCUUGUUUUUUGUUUGUUUGUUUUGUUUUGUUUUUUAAUCUGGGGCCUUUCAGGCUCAGGAAUUUAGAAAACUAGUUCCUCAUCCCUGAUGAUCAGCCAGCCAAUCUCUCCCAAUCCUCCUGAGAGCCUGUCAGCGACUCCUGCACCUAUGUAUUUUUACUUUAUCAUUUAUACUUUAUGUGUGUGCUUUGUGAAUGUAUACAAAGAAUGUGGAGGUGAUGGCAGGGGUCAAAAGAGGAAGACAGUUUCCUUCCCCCUAAGUCAGCUUGGAGUUGUGAGCCUCCUGGUGUGGACGCUGGGCCUCUGGAAGAGUAGCAGGUACUUUUAGCCACUGAGCCAUCUCUGUGGACAAGAUGGAAGGUGUCACUUGCUCAAGGUGACAUAGUAAAGACUCAGUACUGGACAUGGACCGAGGCUUGGAGUUUUGAUUCUGUUAGGUCCAGAGUGCCCCCCUCCCCCCGCAAUGGCAGUGCUUUUGACAGUGUCCUUGUUGGGGUAAUCUUUUUGUAUGCUGUGUAAAGGUUGUCUUUGUAUUGUUCAAAUGUUGAUUUCUGUACCAACAGAGAGCUGAGUACUGUCUGGACUUCGGUUAUUGGUCAUUUUUAUAGAUCAUCGCCUGCCUCAGUACUUUGUAGGCCUCCAUUACCUUCUCAUUAGUUUAAUAAAGUAGCUGAAGCAGGAGAGGAAAGGGGGAAGAAUCAGGCAAGAAGCUUCGCCAGAGCAACACAGGUAGACUUAACAGGUGUGGGGUCUGGGUGAAAGGUAAUGAACCAUCACAUGGCAGACGUGGACUGGGUUACUUUAAGUUCGAUAAACUAGCUGGGAGAUAGUCAGGUAAGGCCUAAGCUAUGAUAAAUAGUAAUAAGUUUGUGUGUCAUUAUUUGAGAGCUGACAGGUCCAAGACAGUUCAGCAGUAGUCCUAAACAGAAGGAUUUGGCUGGGUAAAACAUAAGCCUAAAUGUGGGUUUCUGCUAACCAGCAGCCGUCCUUAAUCCAACCCCAAAGAUUAACUAGCCUGAGCAAGGUAGUUCCACACACUUCCUUGUGUCUGAUUUUGGUCCUUCUGCUUCUCAAAAGCCCCACUCCCAACCACUAUCGCACUAUGGAAUAAGUUCCAGCAGGUGAAGGAGGGAGAGACAUCAGCAUUCAUACAGCACCGUAGGGUGAGUCUCAGACAAGAAGCCAUACUGUGGUAGUCAGAGGUGGCCAGAGUGGUGAGGACCUCCAGGGAGAAUGGGGAGGCAAAGAUGGGCCUCCCACCCAGCCUCACUCACAACAUGAAGGGAAGAGGAGGAUUGUUGCCUUGGUUGAGGUAGAACUUCCCACGGAGGAGUGGGUGUUAUCCAGGAGAUGUUCAAGGCCUCUGGGAGCCAGGGCAGCUCUCAUGGGACUGGCAAGGAACUUCCUUGGGCCAUGGCAGGAACAGUGGACCAGCAGCCAAGUGCUGCCAGCAGGUGGCGCUAGACACGGGACCCUGCAGCAGUGCUUUGAUCCUGGCUCUAAAUCAACUACCAUGCAGGCUGAGUUCUGAGGACCUCCUGGAGGUCAGAAGUGAUUCACUGUGUCAUCCACUGUACCUGAAAUGCAUCAUUUGUUUUUUGACUGAAUGGAAUUUCCACCAACAAGUUUUUCUGGACUUUGAACAAUUGUAUUCUAAAGAAGAAGAAGGAGGAGGAGGAGGAGAAGACAGGAAGAAGAAGAGAAGGACAAAAAUAUCAUUUGAAAAUACAUUUCACACAGGGAAGGCACUUCAAUAUACACCUGGCGCUCAGUCCUGCCCACUUCACAAAUGUGUGUAUAAGGAGAUUUGAACAAGAGUUGAGUACCUCUGCCUGGAGGUGAGAACCCUUGAGGGGUUCUCUGGCCACACCUAGCCCUUCCUACUCUAAGGCUUGGGGACACAAGCUGGGUGGCCAUUUACAUGGCUUCGUAGUACAGUUCAGAUUGGAAUUGCCUUUCUACAAAAGCUCCUGUAUCCGGGGCCUUGGUGCUUAGCUAGUGGCACUAUUUUGGGAGGUUCUGGGAAGUUUAGGAGAUAGAGCUUAGUUGGAAGACAUAGGUCCUUGAGGGUCAGUCCUUCGGGUGGCUUGUCACUGGCCUCUUUCUGUUUGUCUCUUUCUCUGCUUCCUGGCUGACAUGAGGUCAGAAGUUUAGAGAGCAUACUCCCACUGUCAGGAUGUUCUAAGUAUGUGGGGCUAAGCAACUGAAUCACCAAAGACCAUAAGGCAAAGCAAAUAUUUCCAGGAAAUGUACCUAGUAUGUUGGGUCAUAAC